CCUACGGGAGGCAGCAGUGAGGAAUAUUGGUCAAUGGUCGGGAGACUGAACCAGCCAAGCCGCGUGAGGGAUGAAGGUACAGAGUAUCGUAAACCUCUUUUGUCAGGGAACAAAGGCGGGGACGUGUCCCCGGAUGAGUGUACCUGAAGAAAAAGCAUCGGCUAACUCCGUGCCAGCAGCCGCGGUAAUACGGAGGAUGCGAGCGUUAUCCGGAUUUAUUGGGUUUAAAGGGUGCGCAGGCGGCCUGUUAAGGCAGCGGUCAAAGGCCCGGGCUCAACCCGGGCCCCGCCGUUGAAACUGGCAGUCUCGAGUUGGAGAGAAGUAUGCGGAAUGCGCGGUGUAGCGGUGAAAUGCAUAGAUAUCGCGCAGAACUCCGAUUGCGAAGGCAGCAUGCCGGCUCCACACUGACGCUGAGGCACGAAAGCGUGGGUAUCGAACAGGAUUAGAUACCCCGGUAGUC
rnacentral:rRNA from 1 species